CGAAGGGGGCUAGCGUUGCUCGGAAUUACUGGGCGUAAAGGGGGCGUAGGCGGGUUAUCAAGUUGGAGGUGAAAGCCCAGGGCUCAACCUUGGAAUUGCCUUCAAAACUGAUAGCCUAGAGUAUGGAAGAGGUAAGUGGAACUCCGAGUGUAGAGGUGAAAUUCGUAGAUAUUCGGAAGAACACCAGUGGCGAAGGCGACUUACUGGUCCACGACUGACGCUGAGGCUCGAAAGCGUGGGGAGCAAACAGGAUUAGAUACCCUGGUAGUCCACGCUGUAAACGAUGAUUGCUAGUUGUUGGCCGGCAUGCCGGUCGGUGACGCAGCUAACGCAUUAAGCAAUCCGCCUGGGGAGUACGGUCGCAAGAUUA
rnacentral:rRNA from 1 species